rnacentral:lncRNA from 1 species
CUUGCUUUUCUCACUUUCUUCAAAAGGCAACAUGAGGCUACUUGUUCAUUGCUUGGCUAAGCAGUCUUAAAAUGGUGGAGCCAGAAGAGAGGUUAGAGAAGGUAUGGUUCAAGUCCUUCUUUUACAGAUGGAGAAACAGGCCAGGCGAGGUGAAGGGGUGCCAAGAGACCCUGCAGUCACUUGAUCUGUGACAGAACCAAGCAUAGUGACUCAGAUAUUCCAACCCAGGUACACUUCGGUUAUUUGCUCAGCCGGGACCUGAUGGACUCAUUGAACCAAGUCUACCGGAAAAUUCCAACAGUGGACAACAGAACCCCUGCCUUUGGGGAGGAGAGGCUAGGUGGGUCCGUGGAGCAAGGACACUUAAAAGCCACAAGAGUCCACCAACCGAUGAAUAAAUAAACAUGCUCUCUGGCCAUACAAUGGGAUAUUAUUCAGUCGUGGAAGGGACUGAAGCACUGAUCCGUGCUGCAGCGUGGAUGAGCCAGGACACCUUUAUGGAGCUCUCGGCCUACCCCGUGCUGGUUGUGUCAGCCUCUUUGGGUCGAGGGGCCCAAGAUAGACAUCGGGAAAAGCUUCCAUGUGGGCCCCCGGACCGCUGCUGGACCCUCAUCAGCACCAGGGAACAUGGUGAUGGAACGAACAAAUGAAUGAAUAAUGAAAGAAGAACCUGUCCGAUAACAGCUGUUGUUCGCGUAGAGUCAACGCUGGCUGUUUGAUAAGUGUGUGAAUGUGCCCGUCUUGCCCAGGACCCACAGCCCAACGGAACAUGAAGGCAAAACUGGCUGUUCGGGGCUUACCCAGUCAAGCUGCCUCUCUCCCAUACUCCUCCUCCCGGAUCCCCUCCCAUUUCUUUUAAUCUCUUCCAAUUUUAAAAAUAAGAAAUUAAAAUAUUGAAAGAUACAUCAUAGCCAAAUCAUUUCCAAAAGUGUCCUUGGCUGGUCGGGUGACCGUUUCAUUUAGACCCCUCGGCAAUUAACACCAAGGACAGAUGCCCCAACUGACAGAACCUUCCCGCAAACCUCAGUGCUUUCAAGACUUGAAUCCAGGUCCCCCACAGAAAAGGCUGAGACAAACAACAACAGAAAAAGAGAUUCUGGUUUUCCACCAAGCUCAAAGGGCCUUUGUCGGAGCAAGUCAGAGCUCUCCCGGUGGCCAGCUCGUUCUGUUUAAUCAUCAACUGUGCUUAUCAAAUCCUUGAUUUGGAAGUCCCCUGAAGAAAAAAAGUGCAAAAAGAAUCCUUUUGUGCUUUGGAGAUUGAUUUCAAAGCAGGCCUUGAGGUCACCUGCGGACACGCCUUAGGCGGAAAUUACCAGCAGGAAACAAAAUGUUCCCAUUUGAUUUCAUAAAGUUGGGCGGAACCCCUGGAUGGGGACUCACCAUUGGGAUCUGAGCAGGGCCGAAGCACUAGUCCACCCGUCCAUUUUCUUUGGGGGCAGAGGGGAUGGCAGUGAUGCAGGUGGGGGCCUGCUCUGACUCCCCUGGAAGUGCUCCCGCAUCCUGAUACCUGGGCAGAGGCUGGAGGAGACCUGUCAGGUCUACCCACUAGAAACCAAUGCUCACCUUGCUGUCUGAGACGCUGGAAAAGGGAGUCCCUUGAAUUGUCCGGGUUUUGCUUUCCUUGGCCAGGUCUUCCCCAUAAUUUAGAGAUUUGGGGUUUUAGGUGGCAUUUGACUCAAUCAAGGUGAUCAGCCGUCAGGGGAACCUGAUAAAGCUGAGGGUCAGUUCCCAGAUCCACGGUUCCAGUUCCAAUAUCCUCUCCUGGGGAGAGCAAGCGAGAAGACCUUCAGGAGCAGGAUGACAAGAAGCACAGCAAACAGUUGAUGUUAUUAUCAGUGAAGCCCACAGUGAGUCGGGUCGAUGUCCCGGGACCCUGAAGCCAGCCGUGGAUGGCGUCUGAUUGAAAAACCCAACAACCCAGCAAGGAAAGCAUAAAGCCAAGAACAAAUGAAGUCACUCAAAAAGGCCAGAGGAAGGUUCUGUCACAACACACAGUAAAACUUCUUCCUACCUUCUUUCUCCAUCUUUCUCUCUGUAUCCCACAUUUCAGUUCUUUGAGACUUUCUCUCUCUCUCUCUCUCUCUCUCUCUCUCUCUCUCUCCUCCGCAAACAAACGCAGCCACCCUCUCCCAGGACACUCUCCUUGUUUUCCCUGUGCCUUUUUUGUGCAACAGUGGUUCCCAAAGCUUUCUGUUGAAAACCCCACCAUUUUCUCCCUUUCCAAGACCCCGUCUCUUUUCUCGCACCUAAACCAAAAGAUCAAGAUCAAGCUGGCAUUACAGAAUGGGGGGCCCUUGGGCGUGGGUCGGGAAAGAGAGGCUGCGAUUAUUGGUGGAUUUAAUAUGUGGUGCCUGAAGCACGAUUGAGACAUUGUUGAUUCUCUACCGUGCGUUGGACACCAUAUUAAAUUACUGCAUUUAACAGAUGUCUAAAUUGGGGUUUUCUUCAGUGUAUUCUGACUCUAUUCCAGGGAAAUAUUCCUUGAUAAGAGGGUUUGAUAAUUAGCCACAUUUGGAAAGUGUGUCGUCCCCUAUCUGUCCCCUGGAGGUUCCCAAUGCACAUUAAAUUUCUGAUAAUUCUUGCGGUAAAUAUGCAUAUUUAUCAUCGGUGAACCUGGCAUUUCCCUAACUUAUUUGAUCACUGAACUAACUUGAUCAUAAGAAGGAGUUAAUGUCAGCAGCACACCUGGCCCACCCAGACCUAGAAAAUGGGAGUCGCCAAAGCACACCUGUUCCGUGUUGGUAGGUUCUGGAGAGCCUGGUGGGCAUCCACCCUGAUUCACUGGGGUAUUUAUGGUGGUGUACACAUGGGCUUGAUUAGUCUUGACAGAGAGGUUUGUCCCCAAGACAUAGGGGAUGAUGAGCCAAUAAAUAAGAGAUGAGCCAAUAAAACAAUCUAGUGAUGACUUUAAAACAAGAGAGGAGCUGGUGAUGAACCCAGCAGUCCUGGUGGGAGAAAGCGCCCUGUGAAUGAGAUGGGGAAGGCCAAGAGGCGUGGAUGCCUCAGAGACCAGGAAGUCAGAUCCUAGCCCAGCAGCUCACGCUGGCCCACACAGUGGCAGAAAUGAUGUAAUUCUGCAGCAAGCCACGGAAGCCCUAAAUUCAAGCUUGCUCUAGACGUCGGCUGAUAACUAGAAACAGAAAAAUCAGUAAAUCAACUUGGUGCUACUGGAUGGCAUUUAUUUUCGAAAAUGGUUAUGGUUCUUCAAAAACCCCCAGAUCGCUUUGUUUCCUCUCUCACACUCCGCUUCUCUACCAACCGCCCCCACAGCAUCAUGGUCUCUUAACCGAAUUGAGACCUAGCAUGAUCCAUGAGCCCCGGGAAAGGAUUGGCAAGCCUGUCCCGCCUGAGCAGGGGCGUCCCCCCAGCCCAGAGCCAGCCCCCGACUUCUGGCAUCAGGGCUGCUGUUUUGAAGGGCUGCUUUGAGAUCUGUGGCUCCAGGCAUUUUGUUAUUUUGCUGUUUACUUUGGAACUUCUUAAAACAAACCUCAAAGAAGAGAGAACUCCUGUCUGAAGCUGAUUCCUUUUAGAAUCCAAGAGAUGACUCACGGAGGCUGUUUUGGCAUUUAUGUACCCUGUUGAGUUAAUAUGAUUAGACUCAUAAAUUCUAUUUUUGAAACGUAGACUUUGUACCCUGAAUAUUCUUCCAGAACAACAAAAAAAAGCGGGGGGAAAUGACAUCCUUGUUUACAUAUUUGGUAUUAUCUAAAUAUGUGCUAUUUGCCCUCUUACUUUUGUCUUUCAUCGUCUGUUUUUUUCCGUUGGAUUAAAAAGACGGGGCAAAUUCUUCAGUAAACUUGAGGAAUGCUCUUUAGAAUAAGUCUUGUCCAUGUACAAGCUAAUAAUAUGAAAAGUUCUGUUUUCACCAAAUGUCCAUUGACAGAUGAAUGGAUAAGCAAAAUGCAUAGACACUCAAUGCAAUAUUCUUUAGCCUUAAAAAGGAGUGAAAUUCUGACAUUUUGCUACAUGGAUGAAUCUUGAAGACAUUAUUUUAAGUGAAAUAAGCCAGUCACAAAAGCACAAAUACAGCAUGACUCCACUUUAUGAGGUCCCUAUAGAGCGGUCAGAUGCAUAGAGACAGAAAGUGGAAUGGUGGUUCCUAGGGGCUGAAGGCAGGGGAGAAUGGGGAGUCAUUUAAUGGGUACCAAGUCUGAAUUUGGGAAGAUGAAAAUUUUUUGGAGAUGGAUGUGGUCUGAUUGUACAACAGUAUAAUGUACUUAAUGCCAUUGAACUCUACACUUGAAAAUGAUUAAAAUGGUAAAUUUUAUGUUAUGUGUGUUUUAACACACACACACACCAAGUUCCGUUUUCUCUGGGAACACACAUGGAGCAAUACCCAGAGCCUGAGGCUUCCCCCUGAUUGUUUUUGAUCUUACCAACCCACUACUCCAUAAGUAACCAAGUUACUUGUUCUUCAAAGUGAAUGCAUGGCCAGAGCUAAGUCCCCCUUCAUCGCAGAAGUGGCACCUUCCAACCGAGGGAGGUGGUUUUCUCACACUACGCGAUGGAUGGUCUGGGCAGGGGCCGGGUGCAGCCUUCCUUCCUGGGAAAAACGUCUCAACUGUAGAAAUUUGAUGGCUCCUGAGAUUUGUUUCAAGUCACUGUAGUUGGUACAUAAGUUAAGGCGCCUGCCCCUUUGUUCUUGUGUAAUAAAUGGUCGACUCCGGAAUGUUCAAAGACACAGGGCCCUCCACUUGGCCAUAAAACGCACCCUAAUCUAAAGACCGCUCUGUUUCAUUUUUAACUGUGCGGCAAAUCCAAGUUUUAAGUGUUUUGUUUGUUAGAUAAUUUUCGAUAACUCCUAUAAAGCAAGGUUGCUCAUAAUAAAAGACUUCAUGUGUGCCCAUUAAGAACAAUGAAUUGCACUAACCACAAACCUCAAAAGAAGUAUUCUGUUGUUUGAGGUUUAAAUGAAAAAAGAAAGAUCUUUUUUCUUGCCACUAGAAUAAAGGUCUUUUGAGAACUUCAUUUUUGAAAAUCUCGGGCAUGACCACAGAAGUAAUAAAUGCCCAGAUCAUAUGUAUUUUCAUGCUUUUUCUUUAAGGCAUGUCACAUAUUUCAGAAUUAUACGUUAAAAGAUACAUACAGCCAGGUGAGUGAUAGGUCAUAACAUUUCAAAAAUAAUCCUUGUCAAAAUAUGAUAUUCUUUUUAACUAGGUUUGUCCUGAGCAUCUUAGUCUCCCUUCUGUCUUUUCAAUGCCCCUGGACGGAUUCUAGAAAAGUAAGCAACAUGGAGGAUGGAUUGCAUCAAACAGAACAAAUUGUCAGAUAAAUUUUACAAGUAAAAAGUCUGCCACGUGUUUUUCACAUGCAGGCCAUUCCCAGUUUCUUAAUUGGGGCUAAUUUGGAGUGAGGUCAACACACUCCAUUGGCUUUACUCUCCCACCUUCACACUUCUAGACCAGUUGAUGUACCCUCAGGGCAAAGGAGGUUGGGAAGAUGGAUAAGAACUCAAUUACCACCUGUUUCCAGGAGCCUAAUUAGGAAGGUCUCUUUCUGGCCAGGGCUUGGGGAGCUACCAUUUAACACAGCACGAAGGGCCUGGGGCUCAGCUGGGUGUGAUUAUUGCCACUUGAGAUGCACUGCCGGGCGCCAUAUUGCAUCAGCUGUGACAAAAAUUUCUUAUUAGGGCAGCAAAAUGACUUAGGCGUGGCUAUCUUCAACUCAACUCCGUUGGCCUUCCUCCCCCUUUUCUGUGCCCUCCUUUAAAGUCUGGGCAGAAAGCAGGUUGAGAUUCCUUCUGGAGGUCUGAAAAUGAGCCACAGGAGGGCCCAUUCCAAUGAGGUAUACAUUUUGUGCUCAUGGAAGGCAGGCAUGGUUGGAGCCCUGCCCAAAAAUAAAAAAGCCCAGUGCAGAGCCCACAGAAGGCUGGGAAAGACCUCCCUGGUGCUCAGAAUGAGGGUGGGGAUGGGCGUGAAGGGGCAGCCCAUGCUUGGCAGUGGAGGGCAGCCAGCACAGGCGUGUCUUGGACUUUUGGAAACUCCCGUGGCCGUGAGGAACCACAUGAGAGGAUGCAGGCAAGGGCAGCCCCUGACAAAGCUGCAAGCUAGGGCCUCCGUAGCCCUGUCUACAAAUAAUGACUCAUGCUACGAAGAAAAUAAGGCAAAGUGAUAUACUGAAGAGAACUGGGGUGAUUUUAGAUGGAUGAGCAAGCCACAGCCAAGCUAAGACCUCAAUGAUGAAAAGGAGCCAGGAAAGCAAAAACACAGGAGGAAAGCUUCAGGUGUGGGCAAAGCACCAAGUGUGAAGGCCCUGAGGUAGGAAGGUCUGGGGCGUUCAAAGGGCAAUCGAGUGUUCGUGUGGCUGGAAAGGAAGGAAGGAGGGGGGAAGGUGCAGGGAGCUGAGUUUACGAACGUGGGCAGGGUCCCCUACUCAGAACAUCACUGGGGAGGAGUGAAGAUGGACUCCAAGGCUCCUCAGAUGAUAUUCUGUUCUCACCUGCAGCCCUGGACCACCCAGGAGGCCAGCGGAGGAACCGUCUGACUCAACAGCCAGUGAGGCUGGCCUCCUGUCACCCUUACACACUGCUGACACAGGCGCAUUCCUUCCCUGGUAUUCCCUCCAUCCACUGUAAACAUUUUAAGCCAUUAUCCGCAUACAGCUUAUUGCCGUCUCAAUACAGAAGGCAAAGCCAGGACACCAGGCCAUCCUUUCCACCCAUUCUUUUUUUCUCUGUGGUUUAGGUAGAUCAGUCUGUCUCAACUGGAUACAUUUUGGGUUGGCACAAAUGGGGCAGGAGUGCUACUGGCAUCCAAUGGGUCGGGGCAGGGAUGCUGCUCAACAUCCUGCAGUGCACAGGACGGCCCCCCAACAAGAGAGAAUUCUCCCAUCCAAAAUAGCAAUAGAUGGGUGAGAAGGUCAUCCUAGGAGAUUACUAGGGAGGAUUUUGCUCCAGAAAAAAUGACCCAUAAAAAGCCGGCUCAGCUCCUUUCAUAAUUAAAUACCUCCCUCCUUUGUCACACAUUGGAAAACAAGUGAGUUUCUAUUUCAGUCCGCAGGGUGGGUUUUCCAUCUGUUUGGCCGGCUUUCUGGCAGAGGCCCGAUGCAUCAUGGACAGCUAAGCAUGGUUUGCCGUGUGUCGGGAGGAGAAGUCCUAGAAUGGGCCCAAGCCGUAAACAGGGGCAGGCAGACCACCCUGAGCUCUGGGGCUGCUCGGAGCUUCGGAGGCUGGAGCAUGCCCACAGGGUCCUCUCCGUGAGAAGUGGCUCAAAGCAAGACUUCAAGCUGUAGGGAGUUCCCAGCAUCAUGAGUCUUCACUUUGGAACUUUUCCCUCCUUUUAUACACAGCCAUAAGAGCCCCCAAAAGGAAAGCAGACGUGUGUCUAAGAAAAUACCCUUAGGGGCCAGUCCGGUGGUACAGCGGUUGGGUUCGUACGUUCUGCUUUGGUGGCCAGGGGUUCACUGGUUCAGAUCCUGGGUGCGGACCUGCACACUGCUCAUCAAGCCAUGCUGAGGCAGGUGUCCCACAUAUAAAGUAGAGGAGGAUGGGCACAGAUGUUAGCUCGAGGCCAGUCUUCCUCAGCAAAAAGGGGAGGAUUGGUGGCAGAUGUUUGCUCAGGGCUAAUCUUCCUUAAAAAAAAAAAAAAAGAAAGAAAAUAUCCUUAAAUAGAUAUGUCAGGGAUGUCAUCACACAUCACAGUUGCCAUGGGCUGAAUUGUGUCCCCAUCAAAAUUGAUAAGCUGAAGUCCUAUCCCAGGGUCUCAGAAUGUGACUGUAUUUGGAGGCAGGGUCUUUAAAGAAGUGAUUGAAGUAAAAUGAAGUCAUUAGAAUGGGCCCUAAUCCAGUGUGACUGGUGUCCUUAUGAGAAGAGAUCAGGACACAGACACACACAGAAGGGGACCAGCUGAGGACACAGGGAGAAGACGCCGUCUACAAGCCAAGGAGAGAGGCCUCAGGAGAAACCAGCCCUGAGGACACCUUGAUCUUGGACUUCCAGCCUCCAGAUGGUGAGACAAUAAUCUGUAGAUUAAGUCCCCCACGCUGUGGUACUUUCUGAUGGCAGCCCCAGUAAACUAACACAACAGUCUUAGAGCUGUAAGGGGUUCUGAAAUUCUCCCGCAUGACCUGCCACCCAGAGCCAGCAUCUCCUUUGUGGACACACCCUGAGAAGCAGUCCCGUCUCUGUUCACUGUCAGGGAUGGGGGCCUCACUCCUUCACAAAGAAAUUGUUUAGCAUGGUGUAUUAGUUUCCUCUUGCUGCUGUAACAAAUUAGCACCAACUGGGGAGUUGAAAACAACAGCGAUUUAUUCUCUCACAGUUCUAGAGGCCAGAAGUCCAAAUUAGUUCCCCUGGGCUGUGCUCUGUCCGAGGCUGCAGGGAAGACCCUGUUCCCUGCCUUUCCCAGCACCUGGAGCUGCCUUCCUUGCACUCCUUAGCUCAUGGUGGUCCCUUCCUCCAUCUUCGAAACCAGCAGCGUAGCGUCUUGCUUCUGUCAUCCCAUUGCCUUCUUCUCUUCUGUCUGUGUCAAAUCUCUCUCUAUCUCACAUAACACUUGUCACGGCAUUUAGGGCCCAGUGGACCAUCCAGGGUCAUCUCCCAUCUCACGAGCCUUCACUUUGUCCCAUCUGCAAAGUCCCUUUUGCCGUAUAAAGUAACAUAUUCGCAGGUCGCAGGGGUUAGGACAUCCUUGGAGGGAAGGGCAUUGUUCAGCCUACCACAUGCCUAAGGCUGAGUUCUCAAGUCAGGCCACUUGCCACUUUGUGGUCCACCAGCCACCCUAGAGGGCAGGCCCCAUCAGUGGUGACUAGAGUGGUUAAACCAUGACACACAACCUACCUUGGCAACCUGUGGAUCACGAGCCCCUCCGAGAGAAGCUGGGGCGUUGUAGACCCUCUGUUGAGACAUGCUUGCAAGGCCUGCCUGGAAUAUUUUCCUGGGGAUAUUCGUAUUUUUGAAGAUAGUUUUGGACCAAAGGGAUGAAGGUCAAAUGACAAGGGCAGUAUUAAGGAUGAGGCCCUCGCCCUGAGCCAGCAGUCACCCACUCUGUCAAAGGAGAUAAACAAGCAGGGUUCAGACAGACAGAGAUCUGAAAAGUUCUGGAAGGGGCAACACCCCUGAGACCAGACCUCCUCCUUCCUUUUGAGGUCGUGCUAUAGAUUGCUUAUGGGAAGUGGGGUCACCCGCUUCUCUGUCACUUUAGCCAAAACAGAGCAGGGUGGAUUUACAAAGCGUUUGUGGAGGUUUGGCUCAGCUCAUUUUCUUCUCCCAACCCAGCAGUGUUUUUUUUUUUUUUCCCCUAAAAGCAUGCCUUUAAAGAAAUGCCCCCAAACAGUCACAGGGAACUUGAAUACUAACAAACACAUCAUUAAACAUAUACGACUUCCUUCCAGAACAUUCUGUCCAGAUGGGGAGGACGGUUAAGGCACUUAUUUUCAGACCACCCUCGUUAUGGUUCCCGCCCACCCCUCAUUUUAUUAAAUUGCCUUCAGGCAAAAAAAGAAAGAAAAAGUCGUAAAGAUCUAAGGUGCUGCUUCUCCUUUUUCUUUUUUCGAUUAAAUGAGGCUAAAUAGGCCAUCACUGGUUCCAGAAAAUGGCCUCAGUCGCAUGCUCAUUUUCUCUAUUUUGCAGAUCCUGAGAAGCUGCUACUGCUUGGUAAGGGGCUGAGAGUCCAGCCGAUCGCUCCCCAGGGAAGUCCCCUUCCUCGGAGGAACAAUGCUUUUCGAGAAACCCCACGGCUGACCAGAGCCUGUGCCACUGCCUGCUGCUGCAGAGCGAAGUGGGCUCCAAGGGGCGCUGUCACUCACGGCUCUGCUGCGUCAGCGCCCAGCGUGCUGGGCAGCAUUGGGUUCCCCAAAAACACAUGCUGAGCUCCUAACCCCUGGUACCUGUGAAUGUGACCUUAUAUGGAAAGAGGGUCUUUGCAGAUGUCAUCAAGUUCAGGUGAGAUCAGGCUGAGUCAGGGUGAGCCCGACAUCCAAGGACUGGGAUCCUCAUAAGAGGAGAAUUGGGACACAGACGCAGAGGGAGGGAUGGGAAGACACAGGGAGAGCGCCCCAUGAUGCGAGUGAUGCUCCACACGCCCAGGAGAACCAAGGAUCCUUGGCAACCACCAGAGACCAGGGCAGACAGGGAGGGGUUCUUCCUCCGAGCCCGCGAGGGGGAACCAACCCUGCCGACACCUUCACUGCAGACUUGUGUCCUCCAGGCUGUGAGGCAAUUAACUACCAUUGUGUUAAGCCACCAAGCCCGUGGUACAUUGUUACAGCAGCCCCGGCAAAUGAACACACUGAGUUGGGCCCUAAAACGCCUAUUUUGGUCACUUGAAUGCAAAAGCUGCUGUCUGGCUCCCAUCUGCUACUCACGGCUCCUCUGGAGCUUUCCUAGGCCUGUUUGGGGCUUCAAAUCUGUGUAGGAACCGCCAAGGCCGUCUUGGGAUUUGACGAGCUCCUAAGAGGAAAAGUUGGAAUGUCUCGGGGGCCGGCCUGGUGGUGCAGCGGUUAAGUUUGCACGUUCCGCUUCGGCGGCCCGGGGUUCACUGGUUCAGAUCCCGGGUGCAGACAUGGCACCGCUUGGCAAGCCAUGCUGUGGUAGGCGUCCCACAUAUAAAGUAGAGGAAGAUGGGCACGAUGUUAGCUCAGGGCCAGUCUUCCUUGGCGAAAGGAGGGGGAUUGGCAGCAGACGUUAGCUCAGGGCUAAUCUUCCUCAAAAUUAAUAAAUUAAUUAAUUUUUUAAAGAAUUGAGCCGUCUCCUCCCCAGCCUUCCCUCCCCACAAGUUCUCUUAAGGCAGAUGCAGCAAAACAGAACUCAGUAAUACCAUACACCUCACCUACGAGGGGCUCGGCUGGGGGGAAGAUGAACUCCCACUGGGUAUCGAGUGCAUGGCUGACCCCUACUGAGAGCGUCCAUAGGAAAUCUCGUUCUUACCCUAUGAGGUGAAGGCCAAGUUUCCCUUUCCGGAGGUGCAGUGUGUGCGGCCAGGAUCCCAGCCGGCCUUCUUGUUCCAAAGGUCACACAAGGAUUUGCCUCACAGCUGGGGUCAUGGCUGCCUCGUUCUCCAUCCAGGGUCUGUGCGGGACCACCCAGUUGAAAUCCAGCUCAGCAUCAUCAUAUAACUGUAGCAGUGUUCUCAAACUUUCAAGGAGCAUCAGAAUCACCUGGGGGGAGCAGGGGGGCUGUAAAAUCACCCACAGCCCCCCCUUCCACCCUCACCCUAGAGUUUCUGAUUCCGUGGGUCCGGGUGGACCCGAGAUUCUGCGUUGCUGACGCGCCUCCAGGCAAUGGUGAGAAGUGGGUCCAGGCUCCAGGGGUUGAAACCCAUCGGUUUAUGUGAACAUGGGCUGGCAUCAGGAAUGGGCCCAGUCGUGGUGCCCCUGCCCUUGUGUGACGGAAGGCAAAGGAGAGGAAACUGAGACUUGUCCUUCCUCCCUGCCCUCCCCUCCUCACCCUCUCCUGACCUAUCCUUCUUUGCCAGCUGCCUACACUGGCAGGAGCUCAGUGCUCUGACCCGCAUCCUCCAUGACCCUCCCUUCAUUUCCCGGUUUGUGCUCAGUUGCUGGUCACUCAUGUGCUGAAGGGUCACUGAACUGUUGUCCACAGGAGGAGAUGUGCCCCCAAGGAGAUGCCACUCCUUUUUCCACCUUUCCCUGUCCACAUCGUCCUUGCCUUUCAGAAUUAUUUUGCUAUUCAUUGUGCUAUGGGCUGAAUCGUGUGCGCCUAAUGUUCACAUGUUGAAGUCCUAACCUCAAACUGUGACUGUAUUUGGAAAAACAGCCUUUAUCAAGGUGACUAAGGUAAACUGAGGUCACUGGGGCAGGCCCUACUCCCAUAUCACUGUGACCUUACAGGAAGAGGUGGUAGGACACAGGCACACCCAGAGGGACAACCACCACAUGAGGACACAGGGAGAAGACGGCUGUCCACACGCCAACAAGAGGGUUCUCAGGAGGGACCAACCCUGCCAACACCUUGACCGUGGACGUCCAGCCUCCAGAGUGUGAGAAAUAAAUCUCUGUUGUUUAAUUCCCCCGGGGUGGUAUUUUCUUACAGCAGCCUGAGCAAACUCAUACACACUGUUUGCAUUGGUGCAUCUCCACUGGAUUAUAAACUCCUUGAGGACAGGAGCUGUAUCUUUUCAUCCUUGGAUCCCCAACACUUAGCAUGUGCCUGGCACAAUUAAAGGGCACAACGAUGACAAUGAUCAUAAAAGAAUCAUAAUAACUAUCAUUUAUUGAGCAUCUACUGUGUGCCCAGCCCUCUGCUCAGCACUCUAUACUUAAUCUUCACAGCUUAUAAUGUAGGUACUAAAAUAUGUCUUUGCUGAAAAUGAGGAAACUGAGGCACAGAGAGGUGAGGGAAUUUGCCCAAGACACACAGCUAGUAAGUGGUGCAUGUGGUGGGCUGAAUACAGACCCCCAAAGAUAUCCACAUCUUCAUCCCUGGACCUGUGAAUGUUACUAAAGAGACUCUGCACAUGUGAUUAAUGGAAGGAUCUUGUUGUGUUGGAUUAUCCGGAUGCACCCCAAACACAGUCACAAGUGUCCUUGUCAGAGGAAGGCAGUGGGGGACUUGACACAGAGAGGAGAGAAGAGGAGAUGGCUACGUGAUCACUGAGGCGAGAUGCUACGUGCUGGCUGUGAAGAUGGAGGAAGGGGCCACGAGCCAAGGAACGCAGGCAACCUCGAGCAGCUGGACGAAGCAAGGAACGGAUUCCCCCCCCCGAGGGCCUCUGGAGGGAGCUCAGCCCUGCCGACGCCUUGAUUUCAGCUCAGUGGUACCAAUUUCAGACUUCUCGCUUUUGGAACUGUGAGAGAGUAAAUGCGUGUUGUUUUAAGCCACUAAGUUUGUGGACGUUUGUUGCCACAGCCACAGAAAACUCAUAUGGUAGAGACAGGAUUUAAACCCAGCAGUCUAUCUUCAGAACCUGCACUGUUGUUUGUUUUUCU